UAGAAUCGCUAAGAAGGAUCGAAGAAGGACUGGGAGACAACGAAGUGGAGAGAAAUCAGGAACCAUGGAAUCGAUUGGAUGGAAGGGUAGUGAUGGUGACAGAAGCUUCUUCGGGGCUAGGGCGAGAGUUCUGCUUGAAUCUCACCAUGGCAGGCUGCAACAUUGUCGUCGCUGCUCGUCGGAGAGAUCAAUUGAAGUCUCUCUGUAACGAAAUCAAUCAAAUGAAGAAACAAAAAAACUCUUCAAACGCUUCAGCCUCAAAUCCAUCUACAGAGAUCAGAUCUAUUGGGCUAUAACUCAACGUGACCGCUGCAGGGCCUGUGAUCGACGCGUCUGUGCAGAUUGCUUGGAUGCCUUUGGCCAGAUCGAUGCC